rnacentral:lncRNA from 10 species
GAACGGACCGACCCGGAAGGGUGGAUGCUCUCAGCUGGCUGGCGGGAAGAUUUUACUCCCGAGUAGCGGAAAGAUCUGCUCGAGGCCUGGGUGCUUUGGUGUCGGAGAUCCGAGAGUCGGAGAUCGGAGAGUCGGACACAGGACAGUCGGACACCGGACAGUCAAACACCGGAGAGUUAGACCGGGCUUCUCGGUGGGGAGAGGCUCUGGGAUAACUACUGUUACAGCUUUGAAGGGUCAAGGAAAGAAAUUUGGAUUAUUUUAGAAACAAAUUUGGAAAGAAAAAGAAUGGCGUCCGUUUCAGCUCUAACUGAGGAACUGGAUUCUAUAACCAGUGAGCUACAUGCAGUAGAAAUUCAAAUUCAAGAACUUACGGAAAGGCAACAAGAGCUUAUUCAGAAAAAAAAAGUCCUGACAAAGAAAAUAAAGCAGUGUUUAGAGGAUUCUGAUGCCGGGGCAAGCAAUGAAUAUGAUUCUUCACCUGCCGCUUGGAAUAAAGAAGAUUUUCCAUGGUCUGGUAAAGUUAAAGAUAUUCUGCAAAAUGUCUUUAAACUGGAAAAGUUCAGACCACUUCAGCU